rnacentral:rRNA from 1 species
AACACAUGCAAGUCGAGCGGUAACAGGUGUAGCAAUACAUGCUGACGAGCGGCGAACGGGUGAGUAACGCUUCGGAAUCUACCCAAUGGUGGGGAAUAACCAGCCGAAAGGUUGGCUAAUACCGCAUAAGCCCUACGGGGGAAAGCGGGGGAUCGCAAGACCUCGCGCCGAUGGAUGAGCCGAAGUCGGAUUAGCUAGUUGGUAGGGUAACGGCCUACCAAGGCGACGAUCCGUAGCUGGUCUGAGAGGACGACCAGCCACACUGGGACUGAGACACGGCCCAGACUCCUACGGGAGGCAGCAGUGGGGAAUAUUGGACAAUGGGGGAAACCCUGAUCCAGCGACGCCGCGUGUGUGAAGAAGGCCUGCGGGUUGUAAAGCACUUUUAGUGGGGAUGAAAAGCUCAGGGCUAAUACCUCUGGGUCCUGACCUAACCCACAGAAAAAGCACCGGCUAACUCUGUGCCAGCAGCCGCGGUAAUACAGAGGGUGCAAGCGUUAAUCGGAAUUACUGGGCGUAAAGCGUGCGUAGACGGUUACGUAAGUCGGGUGUGAAAGCCCCGGGCUCAAC